UAUUUCUUUUGUUUUUCAAAUUACAAUAAAAAAUGUUGGAUUGGUAUGAAGAAGUUGAAGAAUUUUUAGAGUUUAUUUCUUAUAUUGUAGAAGAAAAUCGCCCGGAAAGUAUACGAAAGCCAUGUGAUAAAAUUAUAUCAAAUCCAAUGGAAUUUUACAAUAUUGAAUUUCAUCAGCUGCAAUAACUUAAACAACAAAGAUUUUAUGCUACUUUAUAGGAAUAUAACCAGUUUUUAUGAAGUUGCCCAUUUCAAAUUACAGCUCUUUCAUGUUCUAGAAGCGAGAUUAUGAAUGUUGUUGGUGAACAACAAGGUCAAGUUAUGUUGGCUUAAUAUUUGAUCUAAGUGCAUUAAGAGGUAUCAUGAGAAAGAGUGAAAUUCCAGGAUUAUUAAUUGGCAAUAGUAGAUACGCAUGCAAAUACUAUCUAUUUACUUCAGUAUUACAGCCAGGUGCCAUCUGUGAGAGUCCACAACUCAAGUCCAUACAACAGUACACUAAAGAUAUAACAUCAUAGUAACCUGAUUUUUAUGGGUAUCGACAAAUCAUGACAUUUGAAUAACUUAGCCAUUGCUUGAAAUGUAGAUCUUGCUUUCUCUAUCCUACAUUUGAUUUCUAUGGAAUGAUCCCAAUCUUCAUUGACGUUCGUACCAAGGUAGGUGUAUGUAUUUACUCUUUCUAUUUGUUGACUGUUCACACUGAUUCGUCUAAAUUGCUGUUCCUUCUUAGAGAUCAUCAUACAUUCUGUUUUCUUAGUGUUUAGUGAAAGUCUGCAUCACUGAUUGACUUCUGCGAUUCUGUUCAAUAAAUAUGCACCAGAAAUAAACAAACCAAGACACUUAAAUGUUACGAGGAGUACUCCCUAAUCAUGAUUUACACAAAAAAUAUAUAAACCUUGUAAAUCAGGAUUUGGGAUUUACAAUGUACUUAUAUAAAUUGUAAAUUAUUAUUUAGGAGUGCACCUCGUAACAUUCAAUGUUUCUUGGUUUAUUUAUUUCUAAUGCAUCUUUAUUGUGAUUGUAGUAAGUAUAAUAUAUAGGUAUAUAUGUAUAUCUUUUUAGGUAAUGAUCAAGAAAAUAGAUACAAUAGUGCACAUGUAAGAACAAGAAAUGUUGCCGAAAAGCUAUUUGGAACCUGGAAAAAACAGUUUCCAUGUCUUCAAAAGUUCUACAAACCGAAUUAAAUACAUACCUUGCAAUAUGUGCUACAACAGUACCUUAUAAGUUAUAAUCUGGGUGCAAGAGAAAAUCAUGAUGGUGAUGAUGAUUUUGUAGAAAAUCUUGAUUUGUCGGUAAAUGGAAAUGUUAAUGAUGUGGAACAAUGUUUAAAUUUUAGGAGGCAUUUUUAUCGACAAUAUUUUGCAUGAGAAUGAGAAUACAUUAUUGAAUACUUGUAAUAUAUUAAAUGUUUUUUUUUUAAUAUUUAAUGGGUCGUCUUUCUUUGGGAUUUUUUGCCUAUUAUUUCUCAAAUAUCAUGAUCAUUGGCUUGACAACUCUUUUUGUUUGAGUUUUGGUCCCUUCAGGAAUACUUACUUCUCCAUUCUAAUCUAUUUGAAGAUUUUGAUUUUUUGUUCUUCCAAUUUUUUAUUUUUAAAAUUUCAAUGUCUUAUCCUAUUUGUUCCUUGCCUAUAUGUAAUCUUUGGUCUUCCUCCUGUUAA
rnacentral:misc_RNA from 1 species